CCAAAUAUGUGUCACUGAUUUGGUUUAUCCAUUGAUGACUACAGAGUUCUUAAUGCUAACAAUCUAACAGGAGAGUUACCAAAGGCUCUCACCAAUUUGACCAAGUUACAGAAUUUAGGAUUGGCAGCAACAACUUCACUGGAAGGAUACCUGAUAUUUUCCAAAAUUGGACGCAACUUCAAAAGUUAGAGGUCCAAGCCAGUGGCUUUGAGGGUCCAAUUCCUCCCAGCAUCUCUUCCUUGACAAACUUAAUCGAACUAAGAAUUAGCGACCUGAAUGGAGGAGUUUCGCGGUUUCCAUCUUUAAGAAACAUGAAAAGCCUACAAAAAUUGAUGUUGAGGGACUGCAACAUAUCUGGACAAAUACCUGAUUAUUAUCAGAACUGCCACUAAGAAUCAUUGAUCUCAGUUUCAACAGAUUAGUGGAAAUUGGUAGAGGUUUUACGAUUUCUCAACCGGAAAAAAUGUAUCUGACAAACAACUCGCUCAGUGGUCCGAUUCCCGAUUAGAUCAAGAACUUAAAUAGUUGCAGUGCGAUAGAUCUUUCUUACAAUAAUUUUUCUGAGGACUACGUGCAAUCCAGUUGUCGGGAAACAUUAAACUUGUUCAAAAGCUCUACUGAUGGAAAGAACUUACCACUCAAUGAAUGUCUGCAGAGUUAUCCGUGUUCGAAAGAUCAUUAUUCUUUAUACAUAAACUGUGGUGGGGAGAAAACUACUGUAGGAAAUAUUGAUUAUGAAGCCGAUCUCGACCAAGGUGGUGAAGCAAAAUAUGUUCCGACUGGAUCAAAUUGGGAAGUCAGCAGCACAGGACAUUUCUGGGAUACGAAUAUUAGCUAUAGAGACUAUAUAGCACAUAAUGUAUCUGUGCUCAGGAUAAAUGAAUCAGCGUUAUACACGACAGCACGCCUUUCUCCCCUUUCGCUCAUUACAUUCGCUGCUUAGGAAAUGGAAACUAUACUGUUAAACUUCACUUUGCAGAAAUAGUGAUAAGAGACAAUCGUUCUUUCCAC